rnacentral:lncRNA from 1 species
UCAUCAGCAUCGACCUGCUUUCUACACCUGCUCCUUCUGUAUGAUCCCUGCCUGAGGGAUUGUAAAUGAGUCUUCGAACCUGCAAAGUUUACAGGUGCGGGAGGAAGAUAAACGCCGUGGUGAUGAUGCAGAUGAGACGAGCCCCCUGGAUGGAGUCCCGGAAACUGAACAUUUGAAGGCCAGUCAUCUCCAAAGUGACUUUUCUCUGCAUGCCAGCAUGAGUCAGAGAGGAUGCUUAAAGUACUCCAGAGACAGAGGACUUGAAACAUAGAAGGAUGUGUCUUGAAGCCCAUCAUGGAAAAAGGAGAAAGUUUCCAACCCUCAUGGGACCCAGUUGGAAUCCGUGGAUUGACAAGAGGAAGGAACACUGAGAAAUAACCCUUUGCUUCCACAUUGACUGCUGAGAGGGUCCAGAUGUGGAUCCGUUCUUUCUUCAGCACCAUGUCUGCCUGCCUUCUAUCAUGCUCCCACCAUGAUGACAAUGGAUUAAACUGAUGAAUUGCCUUAUCUGUUGAAGAUCCUUGGCUAACUGACCUAUGGCAUUCUCAUGGUCUGGACCAUCUUAACUGCAUACCCUGGUUGAAAUAAAGAAGAAAGCGAUCUGAGCACAGACAUUCACUGCUCUUGUUUCCUGACUGUGGAUACAAUAGGAAGAGUCUCCCAUUCCUUCUGCUGUGCUUCGUUCAGACAGCCUCGUCCAGGAAUCAGGUCAGAGCCGUACCAGAGCUUGGCUGCUUCUCUGGAAAUGCGGAGUGAACCACAGGAUUUUUAGCAGAGCCUGUUUCAGCCAGUGAUUGGAAAUGAUGAAGUGCUUUCAAGAUCAGCAUCUCAGAUCACUCGUUUAUGGUUGGCCUAGAAAUGAAUCAUUUAUUUUAGGUCUGGGCCUUAAGGGGAAAAAAAAAAAGCAAAAUCAAAGCUUGGAUGCUUUGUUUUCAUGGUUCUCCUUAUAUCAGGCAAGGAGAAGAGGGAGGGCACUGUGGGCUUU